rnacentral:lncRNA from 1 species
GUGAUGAACGAGGGGCGUUGGACAAAGCAAUCAACCAUUGGUCCGAUUUUUGGAGUCUUCAAGGCACUUGAAUUUUGGAAGAACGGUCCUUUUUUUUUUUUUUUUCUUUAAUUAGAAUCUGAAGCUUACCAACUUCUUUCGUACACGAGGCUUGAGAGAUAUUGGACUAGAAAUUAGAAACUGAUGGGAGUGCCUUUUGCAUCAGGUACAAAGGAAAGCCUAACCGCUACCGAGUGGGAAGAGGGGGGUAGAAGAUUUUUCAACAUUCCGACCGAUUCCAAUUUCCAUGGCAGGAGGUAUAUUGGGUGUGCAUCAAACAAUUUUUGACUCAAGCGGUUAAUUUGCUUUGAAUGAAGAUAAUGCAAUCUUAUUAGUAGGGUAAUCUUCUGUUAUACAUCUAUCUUUCUUUCUUUCUUUCUUGACAGUGGUUAAUAUGCUUUGAAUGAAAUGCAAAAUUAAUAUAUAUAUCUUUGAGGGUCCUUGUGAAAUUGCUAUGGAGAUAAUUCAAAAAUCAUUUAAAAAGUUUAAAUGGGUUGCUAAUUUUUGUUUAAAAUUCAUUUUAGCAAAAUUAACUUAUCUUACAUUAGAUUUUGGUGCAAAAUGUGAAAAUCCUUUAUUUUGAGGAGAUCAUUGUUU